AUUAAGAUGAUAACACAAUAUUGACUGUUGUACCCCUAUUUUUGACAUUUUUACUCUUUGAGUAUGUUUGUUUUGUUCAUGCAUCGUUGACAAUGUAAUGUAAUUUGAUGCGACUGUCAUACAAGUGAGAGGUUUAGCUAGCUAUAAAACCAGGUUCAAUCCACCAUUUUCUACAUUAGAAAAUGCCUGUACCAAGUCAGGAAUAUGACAGUUGUUAUCCAUUCGUUUGAUGUGUUUGGACUUUUGAUUUUGCCUUUUGAUUUUUGAUUUUCCUUUUUGAAUUUUCCUCGGAGUUCAGUAUUUUUGUGUUUUUACUUUUUGUUACGAAAUGUCCAUUGUAUUUUACCUUGUAAAUUAUAACAGGUAACAGUGUUUACUAAGCGGUUUGUAUGAUAUAUAUUGUCCUUAAAGGUUGCAGUGUAGCAAACACUGGGCAUUGCGUCUCGGACUAUGCCACUUAUUGACUCGUCGUUUAGAUUAAUCAUUCGUAUUCCUUUGCCUCUCCCGGAAUAAAUCAAUUGAUUACCUUUCAGUGCUAUGCCAUCAAUAUUCGAAUCCAUUGCAAUUGAUUUCAUCAUUUGUUUUGUCUCCAGGUUUAUUAUUGUAAUGGUCCCUGGAUAAUAAGUUGAUACAGCCAAUGUAUUGUCUUCAAUGAUGUAUACUAUAUCAAACGGUCUACACAGCAUAUUCACCUCAAAGUCUUUUGACCCUUUAUCACUGAAAACUUUUAAUUGUUUAGCCAAGUAGUAAGUAAAUACAAAUCUAUCAUCUGGAAGUAUGCAACAUCCGUAAAUAUUAUGUCCUUGAGUGUCGAUGGACUUGUGUGUCGUUAGCUUUAUAUUAUCUAUAGAUGUUGUUAGAACGAUUGGAAUCAUCAAUUGGGCUUGUCUGGCCUUCUUCCUGAUUAGAACUAUGUCGCAUGGAUUAUAUUCAAUACGCACUUCCCCAAAACUUCUGAUAUCGGAUAUGAUAUUCUGGAUAGAGGUGUUGAUCUGAUAUGAAAGAGUAUGCUGUUCCUUGCCUUCUACAAGAGCCUGCAAUUGUAUUUCUUUGCUAUAAACGUCCUCUUCUAUUUGCUUAAUUGAGAGAAACAUUUGAAGAUCUGUUGCGUGUUUCUUGAUGUUGAAAAGGUUUUUUUGGCAUUCUCCUAUUUCUUUUUCUUUCUUUUCUAGCGAGGACAUUAACUGACAAAUUUUAGAGUUUUCUUUUUCUUCGAGCUCGUUGAGUUGUUUCAUUAAAUCUUCUUGUAGUUUGUCGAGGUGAUUGUUGAUCUUCAUUCUAGUUUUCUUAAUUUCUUUUUCGAUUUCUUUUCUUUUUUCUUUAAAAGUCAACAGAUUGUCUUGUUGAUGCUGGCGAAUUUUCUGUAGAUUUUCUGCUACUUCAACUAAUGUUUCCUCUAUCUCACACAGGGCAUUGGAGGUUUUGACGCUAUGAAUGACGUCAUCUAAUUCUACCAAUCCCUGACAUUCUUUGUGACUUUUCAUCAUACAUUUACUACAGCAGGGACAUUCAUGCUUCUGGCAAUAAAAUUGAUAUUUUUUAUCGUGACUGGAACAAUACUGAGUACUUUUCAGUACAUUAGCUGGUAGUUUCUGGUAUUCGGCAAUAGGUAUUACACUAUGACUUCGCGAUGCCUUAGACAUACCAUGAUGUUCGUUGCAUUCUGUACAUAAUCCCUCGUCACAUUCUGUACACCAGACUAUUGAUGGUUUGGUGAGGUGGCGGAGGUCACAGACACCACAACUUUGGGAUGAUACCGCCAUUAAAC
rnacentral:lncRNA from 1 species